UACGGAGGGUGCGAGCGUUGAUCGGAAUUACUGGGCGUAAAGCGCACGUAGGUGGUUCGUUAAGUCGGAUGUGAAAUCCCUGGGCUCAACCUGGGAACUGCAUUCGAUACUGGACGGCUAGAGUAUGAGAGAGGGAGGUAGAAUUCCACGUGUAGCGGUGAAAUGCGUAGAUAUGUGGAGGAAUACCGGUGGCGAAGGCGGCCUCCUGGUUCAAUACUGACGCUGAGGUGCGAAAGCGUGGGGAGCAAACAGGAUUAGAUACCCGUGUAGU
rnacentral:rRNA from 1 species